CUGCGAAUGGCUCAUUAAAUCAGUUAUCGUUUAUUUGAUAGUGCCCAUUACUACUUGGAUAACCGUGGUAAUUCUAGAGCUAAUACAUGCACAAACCCCCGACUUCGGAAGGGGCGUAUUUAUUAGAUAAAAAACCAAUGCCCUCCGGGGCUGUUUGGUGAAUCAUGAUAACGCAACGAAUCGCAUGGCCUUGCGCCGGCGAUGGUUCAUUCAAAUUUCUGCCCUAUCAACUUUCGAUUGUAGUCUAGUGGACUACAAUGGUUUCAACGGGUAACGGGGAAUUAGGGUUCGACUCCGGAGAGAUGGCCGGAGGAACGGCCAUCACAUCCAAGGAAGGCAGCAGGCGCGCAAAUUACCCAAUCCCAACGCGGGGAGGUAGUGACAAAAUUUACUGAUACAGGGCUCUUUUGGGUCUUGUAAUUGGAAUGAGUACAAUCUAAAUCCCUUAACGAGGAACAAUUGGAGGGCAAGUCUGGUGCCAGCAGCCGCGGUAAUUCCAGCUCCAAUAGCGUAUAUUAAAGUUGUUGCAGUUAAAAAGCUCGUAGUUGAAGCUUGGGCCUGGCCGGCCGGUCCGCCUCACCGCGUGCACUGGUGCGGCCGGGCCUUUCCCUCUGCGGAACGGCAUGCCCUUCACUGGGCGUGUCCAGGAAGCAGGACUUUUACUUUGAAAAAAUUAGAGUGUUCAAAGCAGGCCUUUGCCCGAAUACAUUAGCAUGGAAUAAUGGAAUAGGACGGCGCUCCUAUUUUGUUGGUUUCUAGGAGAGCCGUAAUGAUUAAUAGGGACAGUUGGGGGCAUCCGUAUUCAGUUGUCAGAGGUGAAAUUCUUGGAUCAACUGAAGACGAACUACUGCGAAAGCAUUUGCCAAAGAUGUUUUCAUUAAUCAGUGAACGAAAGUUAGGGGAUCGAAGACGAUCAGAUACCGUCGUAGUCUUAACCAUAAACUAUGCCGACUAGGGAUCGGGCGAUGUUACUUUGUUGACUCGCUCGGCACCUUUCGAGAAAUCAAAGUGG
rnacentral:rRNA from 1 species